rnacentral:piRNA from 1 species
GAUUAAGAAUUGUGUGUGGACAGGGAGUC